rnacentral:ncRNA from 1 species
UUUUUUCUGGUUUUGUUUUAUUUAUUUUAAUUUAUUUCAUUUUUAUUUUUAUUUUUAUGUUUUACAUUAAAAGUUUUAUUCUUGCUUUGGUUUAAUUUAUUUGGAUGAUUUAUAUACGUACUUAUAUAUUAGAUAUUUAUUUUGUAGUAUUUAUAAUUGAAUAUGAAGUUAUUUUUGAUUCAGUAAUCCAUAUAGGAAGGGUAAAUGUCGUGCCAGCAACCGCGGUUAUACGUUAUUUUCAAUAUUAAAUUUUUUGGUGGUAGAUUAUUUAUUUUUUUUAUAUAUUAUUAUUUUUAUAUUUGGUGGAAUAUUAUUAAUUUAUUUUAUGUAUUUGUUGUUUAUUUUCUAUUUAAGCUAUUAUUUAAACUAGGAUUAGAUACCCUAUUAUUUUAGAAUAAUUUUUUUUGCCAGGGUAGUAUUUUUUUGUUGAUUGAAACCUAAAGAAUUUGGCGGCAUUCUAUCUUUUUAGAGGAACCUGUUCCGUGAAUGAUGUUACACGAUUGGCUUUACUUAUUAUAUUUGCUUGUAUAUUUCCGUUAUCAGAAUAUUUAUUUAUAAUAUUUUCGUGUUUUUUUAUUAAAAUUUAUUUCAGGUCAAGGUGCAGUUUAUUAAUAAGUGGUAAAUGGGUUACAAUAAUUUAAUUUAAAUGGAUGUUCUUUUUAAAUAUUGAGUUGAAGGUGGAUUUAUUAGUAAGUUUUUAUAAUUAUGAAUUCUGAAUUAGUACUGGAUUGUGUACAUAUCGCCCGUCGCUCUCAUUUAUUUGAGAUAAGUCGUAACAAAGUAGAUUUACUGGAAAGUGAAUCUGGUUU